AGAGUUUGAUCCUGGCUCAGAUUGAACGCUGGCGGCAGGCCUAACACAUGCAAGUCGAGCGGUAACAGGGAUCAGCUUGCUGAUUCGCUGACGAGCGGCGGACGGGUGAGUAAUGUCUGGGAAACUGCCUGAUGGAGGGGGAUAACCACUGGAAACGGUGGCUAAUACCGCAUAACGUCGCAAGACCAAAGAGGGGGACCUUCGGGCCUCUUGCCAUCAGAUGUGCCCAGAUGGGAUUAGCUAGUAGGUGGGGUAACGGCUCACCUAGGCGACGAUCCCUAGCUGGUCUGAGAGGAUGACCAGCCACACUGGAACUGAGACACGGUCCAGACUCCUACGGGAGGCAGCAGUGGGGAAUAUUGCACAAUGGGCGCAAGCCUGAUGCAGCCAUGCCGCGUGUAUGAAGAAGGCCUUCGGGUUGUAAAGUACUUUCAGCGGGGAGGAAGGCGAUAAGGUUAAUAACCUUGUCGAUUGACGUUACCCGCAGAAGAAGCACCGGCUAACUCCGUGCCAGCAGCCGCGGUAAUACGGAGGGUGCAAGCGUUAAUCGGAAUUACUGGGCGUAAAGCGCACGCAGGCGGUCUGUCAAGUCGGAUGUGAAAUCCCCGGGCUCAACCUGGGAACUGCAUUCGAAACUGGUAGGCUAGAGUCUUGUAGAGGGGGGUAGAAUUCCAGGUGUAGCGGUGAAAUGCGUAGAGAUCUGGAGGAAUACCGGUGGCGAAGGCGGCCCCCUGGACAAAGACUGACGCUCAGGUGCGAAAGCGUGGGGAGCAAACAGGAUUAGAUACCCUGGUAGUCCACGCCGUAAACGAUGUCGACUUGGAGGUUGUGCCCUUGAGGCGUGGCUUCCGGAGCUAACGCGUUAAGUCGACCGCCUGGGGAGUACGGCCGCAAGGUUAAAACUCAAAUGAAUUGACGGGGGCCCGCACAAGCGGUGGAGCAUGUGGUUUAAUUCGAUGCAACGCGAAGAACCUUACCUACUCUUGACAUCCAGAGAACUUUCCAGAGAUGGAUUGGUGCCUUCGGGAACUCUGAGACAGGUGCUGCAUGGCUGUCGUCAGCUCGUGUUGUGAAAUGUUGGGUUAAGUCCCGCAACGAGCGCAACCCUUAUCCUUUGUUGCCAGCGGUCCGGCCGGGAACUCAAAGGAGACUGCCAGUGAUAAACUGGAGGAAGGUGGGGAUGACGUCAAGUCAUCAUGGCCCUUACGAGUAGGGCUACACACGUGCUACAAUGGCGCAUACAAAGAGAAGCGACCUCGCGAGAGCAAGCGGACCUCAUAAAGUGCGUCGUAGUCCGGAUUGGAGUCUGCAACUCGACUCCAUGAAGUCGGAAUCGCUAGUAAUCGUAGAUCAGAAUGCUACGGUGAAUACGUUCCCGGGCCUUGUACACACCGCCCGUCACACCAUGGGAGUGGGUUGCAAAAGAAGUAGGUAGCUUAACCUUCGGGAGGGCGCUUACCACUUUGUGAUUCAUGACUGGGGUGAAGUCGUAACAAGGUAACC
rnacentral:rRNA from 1 species